rnacentral:tRNA from 1 species
GCGCCUAUAGCUCAGUAGGAUAGAGCAUACGCCUUCUAAGCGUACGGUCGGGAGUUCGAAUCUCUUUAGGCGCGCCA